ACUGCCUCGCAACCAAACACCCCGGAAGCAGAGCCUUUCCCAGCCAGCCUGUGCCUCUGCUCACAGACGUCUCACCAGCCCCCGACGUGGAAAGGCUGAUGACCUGAGGACCAGUCACCCACGCAAGAGAGAAUGUUUCUCUGGAAAGCUGGCAAAGCAAAGAUGGGGCGCCUGCCAACAAAGACCACCCUGAGGGACCCAGUGCUGGAGAUGGAACCUGGGGCCUCACACAUGCUCAGCAAGCAUUUGACCGCUAAGCUAUACUCCUAGUCCUCUAUAAUUUGGAGACGGGUCUCACUAAGCGGCCUACUUGAGAAGUAUGAAAUCCAGUUGGGAUGUGGGAAAACCUCUGCAUCCUGGUCCUGUCCCCACGGCACUCAGGGCCACCACAGCUCCUUCAAAGUGGAUGCCAGGAGCCACUCACCAGGGCAGCAUCUCUGCUCCUUUCGACUCGGCUGGGGUCAGUUUGGGGCGCCAAGGGAAAAAAGCAUCUUACCGCUUAGCUACCAAGGGGACCUCGCCAAGAUGGGAAACUUUUGAAAAGUCAACGUGCAGAAUGAGAGAAAAUAUUUGCAAGCCACGUAUCUGAUAAGGGAUGAGUCUCUAGAACUUAGAAGGAGCCUUUGAAGCUGAACACCAGAGAGGCUGACACCCAAUUCAAAAGCCAAGGACCGAACAGGCAUUUCUCUAAAGAAGUGCGCAAGUGGACAGAAGCACGCAGCAGAGAUGUUUGACGUUAUGAGUCCCAGACAACGCAGUUCCAAGCGGCGCCCUCCAGGGUGGCUGGAAUAGAAAUAAAAAAGAAAGGGAAAGAGAGAAGCGGCACGCUCUGUGGGGAACGUGCGCCAGCCUGAACCCGCACAUUGCGGUAAGGACGUAAAACGGUGCGGCUGUGACGAAGGCAGUCGGUGGCUCCUCAAACGGUCCAGCGCAGAAUUAUCUUUUGGUCCAGGCGUUCCACUUAGGCACGUAAAAACGUGCGCAUGCGUGUUUACAGCUGCAUGGUUCAUAACCCUCUCCAAAAUAGGAACAGCUCCAUCAGCUGGUGAGAAGACAGCAGAAUGUGGUGUACGAGCAUUCAGUGGGAUCCUACUCAGCUAGAAAAAGGAACGAAUCUCUGACCCUUUGCUGAACAUGAUGAGCCUUGGAAACACACACUGAAAGAAGCCAAACACAGAGGACAGCAUGUUAUGUGCUCCAUGUACACGAAAUAUCCGGAACUGGCAAUUACACAGAGGCAGAAAUGACCUUGUGGGGCUGACAGUGGAUUGUUUUAGAGAGGGAAACUGAGACAAGAAGUGGGUUCAGCUGUGCCUCAGCUGAGGCCCUGACUCGGGCAGCUGUGGCUGGGCUGGCCCAGGAGCGGAACUGGAUCUAGCUAUUGUGGCUCAGAGGCCGCCGAAGAGCCAGAGAGGACCCCACUCCGUGGCUUCCCUGGAAGUCACACAGCAGGAUUCACUGCCUGCUGGCUCAGCCCUGAUGUGGGCAGGGAGGCAGCUACGAUCAGGUUGGCUGUGAACUUCUGGCCUCAGGUGAUCCUUCUGCCUCAGCCUGGCAAGCAGCUGAGACCACAGGUUGCUGGUUUCCUGUGUUCCAUUUAGUACCAUGCUUCUCGUGGGUGACUUUGCUGUUUACAAUUGACCCAGGCCUAGGGCUGUGGUGCUGCCCAGUGUCCCUGAGCAUAGAAGGCUGUGAUGUUCCUCCGGGAGAAGACACUUCUCAGGUGAACUUCAAUCUGGCGUGCAGUGUGGUGCAGCGUCCGGGAGUUCCUUGUUAAUGAGUCAACCCUCUAUCUAGCAAGAAGAAGAGGAAAUAGGCCAGUCUGUGCAUGAGGCUGAUUGAAAGUGCCUGAUUUCCCCUAGGAACAAUAGUCCUGUAUUUGCUACUGUGAUAACAAGAACUGACUCUAUGGAAGUGGCUUCCGGAUUGUGUGUCAUUCUUAAAAGGCCUCCUCACUUAAAUGUUUCAGAAAAUGACACUAUUUCGUUUUCAUCUAUCUCUUAGUCCUAGGCUCCAAGUCUCCUCUCCAGGCAGCCUCUCCCUGCUUCCCUAGGUAAAUGAUGCUCACCAGGCAGGCUGUCUUGUGACAUCGUCAUUUUCUGUUGUGAUUGGUAGACCAGGUGCACAGCGGAGCCGACAGGUAACUGAUGAAGGCCUUGUGUCCGCACGGGUACAUCUUCGGUCGGAAAGAGCCUGGCACUUCCAAGACAGGCACAGGCAAUUGGGAUUGAUGCUGCUGGAAAAACCCCACAAGUCAGGCAGGUGGCAUUCACUGUUGAGUGGAAAAACCCUCCCCUGCACACAGGGAGAAUAGUGCGGUACCCGCUUCUCAUGGGGACUCUGGUGCUCCAAUUGCCGGGUGGCAUGGGGCCCUGCUGGGUGCAAAUUGGAAGUUUAGGGCAGAGAGACCACUGUCAGCCCAGGUGUGAGUCAUCCCUGCUCUGUCAGAUGGGAGGACAGCGCAGCCAUCGUCAGAACUGCCCUGGAGAGCAAGUGUAGGCACUGCCCCGGGAUGUGCCAUGCCCACCCAGGAGGUGCCAGCUCCAGCCACUGCCCGGUUCCUUUCCACUCUAUCUGUGGACUCUACCAGUCUGUAUCCUGAGCAUAUCCAUCACUGAUCAGCCCCAGAAUCUCCUUGUACAACAGGGAGAGGAGGACUUGCCCCUGGCAAACUGGGUGGCCCUUUCCACUCGGUAGCCAUUCCUUUUGUUUUAGUAGGGCCUUCUGGGAAAGCCAGGGCAAGAAAGCAGUUGUGUCCCAGCCAAGGCAGGAGUUUUCCCGGAGUCAGGUGAGAGCAACUCACAAAGCCUGUUCCCCUGUGCUGUCCCAGACACAUACUUUGCUCUCUCAGCAGCAGCAGCAAAAGCUAACAUGUUUCGAGGUCUUCCUGGGCUGCUAAGAACUUCCUCACCCAGAGGCUCUCUCACAGCCUUGGAAGGAGGGCACUUCCACUGUCCUGUUGCCUAAUUAUAAAACUGCAGCUCACAGAUGUUAACAAAUGCAUAAGUUCAAGUCAUGGCUAACAGGACUUGAGUCAGGUCUAUGGGCCUCCAAAUCCAAAGCUGCGCUGUGCACGCUCUCCCCUUUGGCCUUCUUAUUUAUCUGAUGGUUUUGCCAGGGAGUCUAUCCGCACUCUUUUUUGUGAAGACCCAGGCCAGGUGUUAGGGGGAACCGCCUCUUCUCGGAAGAGAAAGCGAAGUGCACGGAGUGGAACUGUCUGUUGGCAGCCUGUUGGUGUGUUUCCUUCUAAUCCUACCCAUUGUCACUUCCCAUUAUCUCUAAUCACUUCCUUUUGCCAUUAUAAAACUCUACAAAUACCAUUUA